UGGGCUUGACAUCCCACGAACCUUCCCGAAAGGGUUGGGUGCCCGCAAGGGAGCGUGGAGACAGGUGGUGCAUGGCUGUCGUCAGCUCGUGUCGUGAGAUGUUGGGUUAAGUCCCGCAACGAGCGCAACCCUCACCCCUUGUUGCCACCGGGUAAAGCCGAGCACUCUAGGGGAACUGCUAGCGUCAAGCUGGAGGAAGGCGGGGAUGACGUCAAGUCAUCAUGCCCCUUACGCCCUGGGCUACACACGUGCUACAAUGGCCGGUACAAAGGGAUGCAAGGCCGCGAGGUCGUGCUAACCCCAAAAAACCGGUCUAAGUUCAGAUUGCAGUCUGCAACUCGACUGCAUGAAGGAGGAAUCGCUAGUAAUCGCGCAUCAGCACGGCGCGGUGAAUACGUUCCCGGGCCUUGUACACACCGCCCGUCACACCACGAAAGCCGGCUGUACUCGAAGUCGCUGAG
rnacentral:rRNA from 1 species